rnacentral:lncRNA from 1 species
UUGGGUCUAAGCUGUGCAGUAAACUUCGGUGGAAAGAGCAGAUUCACUGACCUGUCCUUAUGUUUCGUGGAUCUUGCAUCAUCUUUGACAAGAAUUCCAGAUGCCCUUGUGCCCAGAGCCAAGACAUGGGAACAACCUAAGUGUCCAUGGAUGGAUGGAUGGAUAAAGAAGAUGUGGUACAUACAUACAAUGGGGCAGUGUUCAGUCAGGAGAAAGAAGGAAAUCCUGCCAUUUGCAACCACGUGGAUGGACCUUGAGGCAUCAACUAAGUGAAGUUUUUGCAGACAAUAGAGUUGUAGCCUCUCUUACUUCUGGUGUCUGCCCUCCUUGUGGCUGAAGUUGGGCUUGCUGUAGGCUUCCUGAUGGAAGGGAC